rnacentral:lncRNA from 1 species
UGGCUUUGGGUAACUGGUGGGGGCUUUCGGUAGCUGGUGGUGGCUUUGGGUAGCUUAUGGUGGUUUUGGGUAGCUGGUAGAUGCUUUGGGUAGCUGGUGGUGUCUUUGGUUAGUCUGUGGUGGCUUUGGGAAGCUUCUGGUGGCUUUGGGUAGCUUGUGGUGGCUUUAGGUAGCUUGUGGUAGCUUUGGAUAGCUUGUGGUGGCUUUGUGUAGCUUGUGGUGGCUUUGGGUAGCUUUGGGUAAUUCUAUGGACCUGUUCCUUGAAUGAGAGAUAGUUGGUUCUGGAAUUGUUUUUAUUGCUGUGUUCACCUUUCUCCAAAGCAGCUAUGUCUUUCUGAAGAUGAGGUCUCUAUGCUUGGAUGUAAUAAUCCAAGUGCGGGGCAUUACGCAUUGUUCAUAAUAUACUAUAUAAAACAUGUUAUGUUUGCUUAAAAGAGGAGGAAUGACAUCGUAUGACUACUCUUGGGGCCCUUUUCAAAUUCCCACUCAAUGUCUGGGGAACCUUGACCAUGGGGGUCCUAAAUGCAGAAACUGGGAAACUCUCCCAUAUGGACUUGGGAGAGUAGAAGGACUAGAACCCUAUCCAGGUUGUUCAAUACAAAAUUGUGCCAAUAAUAAAAUUUCCAUAACGGUGACACAAACCUUGUGUACAGUAUAUACAAAAUGCAAAAUUUUAUCUCUAAGUUUUGUGUUAUUUGAUUAGGAUAUGUUGGUUUCAACUGUUGUGAUGAUAUACAUAUUAAACUUUUUCCAGGUCCUAGACCCUACUCCAAAAAUGACUAUAAAGAAUGCAUUUUAUUUGCUUGUGAAUAAUACAAUGCAGUGUAGAAUCUAUAAAAUUUUGCUAUUGCAGUUUUUGUGUAUUUUCUAGAUACAGUAGCACUAUAUUCUUUCUUAAGAGUAAUUUCUAUGUAAUGUUAUACCCAUUUGUGCGUAUAUAGUUUGGGUCAUUGUCAUUGUUAAGUGCAGUGAUGGAACUGGGUCGGAUGUACUCUGCUAGUUUAGGUACCUAGUGUUUGCAGCAUUGUGACCAUUAUUAUUGUGUUCAAAAUACAUUAUUUUAUUUUGUGAUUUUCAGGCUAUCAGCUGUUUGCAUGCUAUGCAGUUGUGACAUCUAUUGCUGUCUGCUUCUACAACAAAAUGUACAAGAAGAUCAAGCGAAAUUGAUGGCGAAUGUUGAAGGUUGGGAGGUUGGUAAAUAUUACAGUGAACCCAUCUUCAAAACUGUACCUGACAAGCGCUAUAUUGACUCCAUCAUCCAAGAGUACUACAUUCAUGGUCCCUCAUCCAACUACAUUUUUGGCCCCUACUUUUCCCUCUUCACUUGACCAGUGACUGAUGGAAUAAAAAUUUGUGGUACUGUACUACUGUAUCCCUCUGAUCAACUGCUUAAAUUUGUAGGUUUUCAUGUAUCUAGUUUGAAAGUCUACACAUGAUGUAAUAUGAACAUACCUGCAUAACACAAAUAAAUUUGUCAUAUGUUAAAAUGUGCAUGCCAACUGAAAUAGAAAAUUUAAUAGUUAAAAA